AGGAUUAACGCUGGCGGCGUGCCUAACACAUGCAAGUCGAACGAGGUAGCAAUACCUAGUGGCAGACGGGUGAGUAGCGCGUGGUCAACCUACCGUUGAGUGGGGGAUAACUAGCCGAAAGGUUAGCUAAUACCGCAUACGUCUCCGAGGGGCAUCCCUUGGUGAUAAAAAGGAGCAAUCCGCUCGAUGACGGGACCGCGUCCCAUUAGCUAGUUGGUGGGGUAACGGCCUACCAAGGCAUCGAUGGGUAGCUGGUUUGAGAGAGCGACCAGCCACACUGGGACUGAGAUACGGCCCAGACUCCUACGGGAGGCAGCAGUGAGGAAUUUUCCGCAAUGGGCGAAAGCCUGACGGAGCGACGCCGCGUGUGGGAAGAAGGCCUUCGGGUCGUAAACCACUGUCGAAGGGGAAGAUAAUGACGGUACCCUUGGAGGAAGCCCCGGCUAACUACGUGCCAGCAGCCGC
rnacentral:rRNA from 1 species